UCGAAUAAUGUUUCCCUUCUGUUAAAAUGAUAGCGCCCACCUCAGUAGUUAGGGUUAAGGGGUAAGGGUUGGUUCAGGUUUAGUGAUGCCUUCAAAUGUGGUCGUGUUUACCGCAUUCACAAGAAGAGUCCAUACAUGAACGCCCCCUUCUUUAAGUAUUCACGACCUGAGUCUGAAACCAUCUGAGCUCCUUUUGUGCAGCCUGGCACCAACAAAAAUGUCCAUGCAGCCCGUCUUUUAUGCGUUCAAUCACAAACACCCCUUGCAGGUAGUGUGAAUCCCCAGGAGAUGGCACUGUUUGGCAGCACUGCACCACCAUCGUGUUUAGGUUGCCAAGCAAAAGAGAGAUAUACUGGAAACAUGGGGAGAGAGCAAGGGGGAUACGAUGCAACGAAAGUCCCCAGCCAGAGUCGAACCAGGGAAAUGAAGAUUGCAUGGAGAGCGCUCAGAGACCCCCAUAUCAGCACACUUUAAACUGUGAGAUUCCCAUCAUGACCUCCACCAUUACAUGCUGUCUAAUUGUUGACCUUCCUUCUUUGCACUCUGCAUUGACAUACUACUAUAAAUGAUAAUGUUUGUUAGUGUUGUAUGAUGAUGUAAUGUGAGAAUCAUUGGGAGGACAGGAAUACACACAUUACAACAAAUCUGGACAGUAGCUCCUACCUACUGUCCUUUAAAGUAAAUCUCUCAUGAUUCAUUGUUUGCAAAGCACAUUUAAUAAUCUCCCUGUAGAGGUUUGUUCUGGGUUUUAUUUUAUUAAUUUACAAUUUUUCAAAUCUGUCUUAAAACAAUAGUCAGGUGCUCAAACGAACACUGAAACACUUUUUCCUUGCUGUAAUCUUUCUUCCUGUUCAUAUUGGCCAUUACAAGAUCCCUUCUUAAUGCAUUUCCAAAUGUAAGUGAUGGGGGAUAAUAAAUGAGUAUCUACGAUAGACUGUA